GCCUCUUUAGCUCAGGUGGUAGAGCUUUACACUUUUAAUCUAACGGUCAAUAAUUCUAAUCCCCUAAGGGGCU
rnacentral:tRNA from 1 species